GACGAACGCUGGCGGCGUGCUUAACACAUGCAAGUCGAACGGAAAGGCCCUGCUUUUGUGGGGUGCUCGAGUGGCGAACGGGUGAGUAACACGUGAGUAACCUGCCCUUGACUUUGGGAUAACUUCAGGAAACUGGGGCUAAUACCUGACAGGAGCUCCUGCUGCAUGGUGGGGGUUGGAACGUUUCGGCGGUUGGGGAUGGACUCGCGGCUUAUCAGCUUGUUGGUGGGGUAGUGGCUUACCAAGGCUUUGACGGGUAGCCGGCCUGAGAGGGUGACCGGCCACAUUGGGACUGAGAUACGGCCCAGAAUCGUACGGGAGGCAGCAGUGGGGAAUAUUGCACAAUGGGCGGAAGCCGGAUGCAGCAACGCCGCGUGCGGGAUGACGGCAUUCGGGUUGUAAACCGCUUUCGCCUGUGACGAAGCGUGAGUGACGGUAAUGGGUAAAGAAGCACCGGCUAACUACGUG
rnacentral:rRNA from 1 species